rnacentral:rRNA from 1 species
ACAGGUCACACGAGUUUGAUCAUGGCUCAGAAUCAACGCUGGCGGCGUGCCUAACACAUGCAAGUCGAACGAGAAAGCUGUCUUCGGACGGCAAGUAAAGUGGCAAACGGGUGAGUAACGCGUGGGACAUCUACCCUGAUGAGGGGAAUAACUCUCCGAAAGGAAAGCUAAUACCGCAUAUACCGUGCAAACGGGAAAGGCCUUCGGGUCGCAUCAGGAGGAGCCCGCGUCCGAUUAGCUAGUUGGUGAGGUAAUGGCUCACCAAGGCGACGAUCGGUAGCCGGUCUGAGAGGACGGACGGCCACACUGGGACUGAGACACGGCCCAGACUCCUACGGGAGGCAGCAGUGGGGAAUUUUGGGCAAUGGGCGCAAGCCUGACCCAGCAACGCCGCGUGGAGGAAGAAGGUUUUCGGAUCGUAAACUCCUGUCCCAUGAGACGAAAAAAAUGACGGUAUCAUGGGAGGAAGCCCCGGCUAACUCCGUG